rnacentral:rRNA from 1 species
AUUGAACGCUGGCGGCAGGCCUAACACAUGCAAGUCGAGCGGAUGAAGGGAGCUUGCUCCUGGAUUCAGCGGCGGACGGGUGAGUAAUGCCUAGGAAUCUGCCUGGUAGUGGGGGAUAACGUCCGGAAACGGGCGCUAAUACCGCAUACGUCCUGAGGGAGAAAGUGGGGGAUCUUCGAACCUCACGCUAUCAGAUGAGCCUAGGUCGGAUUAGCUAGUUGGUGGGGUAAAGGCCUACCAAGGCGAGAUCCGUAACUGGUCUGAGAGGAUGAUCAGUCACACUGGAACUGAGACACGGUCCAGACUCCUACGGGAGGCAGCAGUGGGGAAUAUUGGACAAUGGGCGAAAGCCUGAUCCAGCCAUGCCGCGUGUGUGAAGAAGGUCUUCGGUUUGUAAAGCACUUUAAGUUGGGAGGAAGGGCAGUAAGUUAAUACCUUGCUGUUUUGACGUUACCAACAGAAUAAGCACCGGCUAACUUCGUG